rnacentral:lncRNA from 1 species
CAGAUCACAUUGCGUUUCUCAUUGACUGUGCAAGGAAAGGAUGCGUCUUUUUACCGGAGAAGGAGCUGCACUCAGCUACCACACACCAUCGUCCACCUGGAGGAGCGGGUCAGGGGUGGGGGUCCCUUUUCCCCGGACGUCGUUACCCUGAGGACCGGGGCGAUCCCACUCUCCUGGGCUUCCCCUGCACCCCAUGUCACCAUUGCAUGGCGUGGCUGGGGCGCGGGUGAGGGGUGCGGGGGGAGAGGAAGGUCUGGUGGGCACCUUGGGACCCCCCGUCCCCUCGGAGCAGGGCAACAGCCCACCGCGGUCUCUCCUUCUGUGCCAGGACCUUUGCCCCUGUCCCACCCCUCUCACUCCUUUCCAGGACUGGAUAUUGUUUUGUGUAGAAAUGUCCACCCCAGUCUGGGCUUCAGAAAACUGCAGGCGCCCUGUGGCCCCGUCCCCCCAGCUGCAGCGCUGAGCCCCCCGCCGUCUGCCCAGCAAGAUGGGCAGAGCAGAGCAGAGCUUUCCUCUCCCCUCAGCAUCCCUCAUCUUCAAACACCCCCUGUGACACAGACCCCGAAACCCGGCACCGUUCUGCGUGGCAGUGCGAGGCGAUGCGCCCUGAGGGAGGGUGGCCUUGUCCCUCCUGGUGGUCCCCAAAGAAACCCGGUUCUGCACCAGGCACCCCGCACCGACUGCGCUGCAUUCACAGCUUCACCUCCCGGCAAGGAAUCCUGCAGCAGAACGGGGCUGGGUCCUACUUUUUUUUGGCUGAUAUGUAUUUUUAUCCCUCCUAACCUAGCAGGCACAACACUUAAUUUUCCCCCUUUUGGGGAGCAAACCAUGCGGUUGUACAAAAUGUCAGCUCUUAAACCCUGGCAAAUGUUUAUUUCAGAAGUGGCUGGUGUGGUUUCUCCUGAGCAAACACCAGUAGCUUUUUUGUGUCUGGCAGGCAGGUGUAAGGGGCUGCUGGUGCUGUGCGUGUUGAAGGAGCCCAGGGCAGUGCCAGGUUCAGCAAAUGCGGCUUUGCUCAGCGAUUAA